rnacentral:lncRNA from 1 species
ACAGCGCCCACUAUCGCAAAUACAAACCGCAAAGGAUCAUGGGGCUGCAAUCGGAGCAACAGCGCCAUCACACGGCGGUGGGAAAACGUACACACGGCAUGCACGGUGCGGUGUGUACGAUAUUUUUUGGCUGUCCAUUUUUCUGACGUUUUGUGUUCGAUGGGAGGUGAUUAUUGUGCUGUUCUGGGUUGCAAUAAUGACUGUUGUUAUCCACAAAGAUGUCAUCAUAGAGCAUGUAAACACACUCGGAUUCCACUCAUACAGGGAUAAGAAACACUUCCCUCUCUGGACCCAACUGACCCAACGGCAGGAUUUCACAGUAAAAUCAUCGACUACAGUCUGCAGCAACCACUUUAAAUACGGCCAGCCAUAUCCUGAUGAACUUCACCCAUCUUUAUUUUUGAGAGGAUACGACCUUCCUGAGACACUGUAAAGAGCACCGGUGAAGAGGCGAGUAUUGGAUCUCACUACACCACUGCCGGCCAUCUGAGAAAAUCAAAACUUUGCUGUACCUUUUCUUAAGUUUUUAUUUAUUUUGUUCAUUCUUACUCCAGGUUUGUAUGCAAAAUAAAACAAAUUAUAAAUGGCAUGAACCUACAUGUACAUGAACGGUCUUCACUUAUGAUAAUGAUAAUAGAAAUUAUAUAAAUUGUAAAAGGUUUUGCAGGUUCAUAAAAAUAAGAGACAUGUUUAAUUAAAAAUAAUGUAAAUAAAAUUUGGAACAAAGUUGCACACAAUAAGGAUGUAGAAAAUGCAAAUUGAAAUGAUCAAGUCAUGUUUUAUAAAAGUACAUGAACAUUGUUUAAAAAUGCAAUUAUGACCUGCGUCUCUUGACGAGAGUUGAAUUAAUAGUAAAAAAAAACCCUGGAAAAUUGAAAAUAAAACUGGCAAAUGCAAGCCUACUCGAGUGUCAUAACAAGA